rnacentral:rRNA from 1 species
AAUGAACGUUGGCGGCGUGGAUUAGGCAUGCAAGUCGAACGGGCCCGGCCGCAAGGUCGGGUCAGUGGCGCAAGGGUGAGUAAGGCGACGGUAACCAACCCCAUGGUCGGGCAUAGCCGCGGGAAACUGCGGGUAAUCCCCAGCGAUGUGGGCCGCGGGCAGCCCCGGCCCACCCAAGUCCCGGCGCCGUGGGACGGGCCCUCGUGGUAUUAGGGGGUUGGCGGGGUAAUGGCCCACCCAGCCGGCGAUGCCUACCGGGCGUGCGAGCGGGGCCCGGCACACUGGGACUGAGACACUGCCCAGACUCCUACGGGAGGCUGCAGUCGAGAAUCUUCGGCAAUGGGCGCAAGCCUGACCGAGCGACGCCGCGUGGAGGAUGAAGGCCUUCGGGUUGUAAACUCCUGUCGAGGGGGAGGAAGGCCGGGCGACCGGCUUGACCGAUCCCUGGAGGAAGCACGGGCUAAGUUCGUGCAGCAGCCGCGGUAA